rnacentral:misc_RNA from 1 species
AAGUCGUAACAAGGUCUCCGUUGGUGAACCAGCGGAGGGAUCAUUAUCGAGUUUACAACUCCCAAACCCCAUGUGAACCUUACCAUCACGUUGCUUCGGCGGUCACGCCCCGGCGCCCCCGUGCCCGGAACCAGGCGCCCGCCGGAGGACCCCAAACCAUUGUUGUAUCUAGUGGCAUUGUCUGAGUGGCGUAAAGCAAAUCAAUCAAAACUUUCAACAACGGAUCUCUUGGUUCUG